rnacentral:rRNA from 1 species
GGCGUGCUAAUCUGCGAUAAGCGCCGGUAAGGUGAUAUGAACCGUUAUAACCGGCGAUACCCGAAUGGGGAAACCCAGUGUGAUUCGUCACACUAUCAUUAACUGAAUCCAUAGGUUAAUGAGGCGAACCGGGGGAACUGAAACAUCUAAGUACCCCGAGGAAAAGAAAUCAACCGAGAUUCCCCCAGUAGCGGCGAGCGAACGGGGAGGAGCCCAGAGCCUGAAUCAGCAUGUGUGUUAGUGGAAGCGUCUGGAAAGGCGCGCGAUACAGGGUGACAGCCCCGUACACAAAAGCGCAUGUGCUGUGAGCUCGAUGAGUAGGGCGGGACACGUGGUAUCCUGUCUGAAUAUGGGGGGACCAUCCUCCAAGGCUAAAUACUCCUGACUGACCGAUAGUGAACCAGUACCGUGAGGGAAAGGCGAAAAGAACCCCGGCGAGGGGAGUGAAAAAGAACCUGAAACCGUGUACGUACAAGCAGUGGGAGCACCCUUCGGGGUGUGACUGCGUACCUUUUGUAUAAUGGGUCAG